rnacentral:rRNA from 1 species
UACGGGGGGGGCAAGCGUUGUUCGGAAUUACUGGGCGUAAAGGGUCUGUAGGUGGCUUGCUAAGCCAGACGUGAAAUCCCUCAGCUUAACUGGGGAACUGCGUCUGAGACUGGCGAGCUUGAGUGCAGGAGAGGAACGCGGAAUUCCAGGUGUAGCGGUGAAAUGCGUAGAUAUCUGGAGGAACACCGGUGGCGAAGGCGGCGUUCUGGACUGCAACUGACACUGAGAGACGAAAGCCAGGGGAGCAAACGGG